rnacentral:rRNA from 1 species
AUGGGCAAGGGCAGGAAUAAGAAGAAGAAGGCGCCCGCCGCCGCCGCCCCCUCCCAUGUAGCGCUCAACGGCGACGAGCCGCAGCAGGUGGAUUCGGCAGCGGCCAGCGGAGACGCGAUUCAGCCGCCGAUGCCCAAUCCGGUUGGGGACGAUGAGCCGCCGCCGGAAUCUGCGGCGAUUCCCAACGGAGAACAUGCUGCGCCGCCGCCAGUUGAGGCGGCCGAUGGCGACGAGUCACCGGUGGAUUCUGCGGCAGCGGCCAAUCGAGACCCGUCGACGCCUACAGUUGGCGACGAGAUGCCACCGGAUUCAGCGGCGCCGGCCGACGCGAACCCGCCGCCUUCGAUUGAGGCAGCCAACAGCGGCGAGCCAUCAGCAAAGACGGGGUCGGAGGACCAGGUCCCGAAGGAGAGGCGGGACUCGUCGCCGGAGCAUGAGGUGGAACAACUCAAGGCGCUCAACGGCACGCUCGUUAAGGAGGCGGUGGUGACGCGGGGGCUGGUGGUCACGCUCACCGCGCAAGUCGACCAGUGCUCUGCUGAUGCUAGCGCACUCGCCCAUCUGGAGCCUGUGGUCUUCCGGCCUGCCCUUGUUGCCCCCCUCCAAGCUGCCGCCGAGGAUGGCACGGCGCUGCGCGGGCACAUAGCCGACGACCAGCAAUCGCUCCAGGUCGCGGAGGCGAGGGUGGCUCGCGAGACGGAUGCCAGGGUCGAGGCUGCAGCGCGCUUGGAGGAGGCCCAAGUGGAGAAACUUCAAUUCGAGGAGCUCCUCCGCGGGAAGCAGGCGGCAGCCGCGUCUGCGUCCGAAAAUGUCACCAAAUUGGAAGCCUCUGUUGGUGAACUGGCGGGGAAGAGCACUGAGCUGUGUGCAGAGAAAGGCGAAUUGCAGAAGCAAUUGGGGGAAAUGAGUACCACGGCUCACAGUGUCAAUGCUCUGAAGGCAGAAGUGGAGGGAAACUUCCAUGAUUACAAAAAGAGCACAGAGAUAUGGAGGCAUGAAAUGAAGGAGAAGCUUGAUGAGAAAUCAAAGCAGUUGGACAGCCUGAUAUCCAGUGAGGCGGAAAUGGAGGUGAAGAUCCAGUCUUUGGAAGCGAAGCUUUCGGUGGCCCAGGCUAGGAACAGGGAAAUGGAGUUGGAGAUGGAGACUAGCAAGACAGAGUUAGAUGCUGCGCAGAAGGAGGUGGAGAAGCUCCAGAUCGAUGCUGCAAAUGCCACCAGCAAGUAUAACAUAGUGGUGGCUGACGUGGAUAGUUUCCGCAAUGAGAUUAACGAGAUGAGGAAAACAAAUGAAGCGGCUGCGGCUGCAUUUGCUACUGAGAAGACCAAGUUGGAGAGGGAACUGGAUGGGCUGAAGAGGAGGGUAGAAAAAAUUCAAGCCAAUAAGGACGCUGCCAUGGCCUCUGCCCAUCGGAAAGAUGCUGAGGCUACAAAGCUGAUGGCUAAGCUGAAUGCGCUGAACGGUACCAUUGCGAAUCAACGUGUUCACUGUGAUGAUCUCAAGAAUAAGUAUUCUUCGCUCCUAGCUGAGAAGGAUGCGCUUCUGAAAGCAUUUGGCAAGGAGAAAUCUGAAGGAGACAAGCUGAGGCUGAACCUUGGGGAGCUUGAUAGCUACAAUGCUGAGAAGGACCGUGACAUUGAGGUAUUGAAGGCAGAAGCACUAAACAAGGAAGGACAGAUCGGUAGCCUGAAUGGGAAGCUUGAGGAGCUGCAUCUCGCAGUCGCUGAGGCGCGGCAGAGGGGGAAGAGUAGCGCGUGGACAUGGCUGUGCCCUACCACGACUGUUAUCGCCGCCACUUCCUUUGUCUACGCUGCUCGUAGCCGGUGA